rnacentral:rRNA from 1 species
CCUACGGGUGGCAGCAGUGAGGAAUAUUGGGCAAUGGACGAGAGUCUGAACCAGCCAAGUAGCGUGAAGGAUGACUGCCCUAGGGGUUGUAAACUUCUUUUAUAUGGGAAUAAAAUGUUCCACGUGUGGGAUGUUGUAUGUACCAUAUGAAUAAGGAUAGGCUAACUCCGUGCCAGCAGACGCGGUAAUACGGAGGAUCCGAGCGUUAUUCGGAUUUAUUGGGUUUAAAGGGAGCGUAGAUGGGUUGUUAAGUCAGUUGUGAAAGUUUGCGGCUCAACCGUAGAAUUGCAAUUGAUACUGGCAGUCUUGAGUACAUUUGAGGUAGGCGGAAUUCGUGGUGUAGCGGUGAAAUGCUUAGAUAUCACGAAGAACUCCGAUGGCGAAGGCAGCUUACUAAACUGCCACUGACAUUGAUGCUCGAAAGUGUGGGUAUCAAACAGGAUUAGAUACCCUAGUAGUC